rnacentral:rRNA from 1 species
UACGUAGGGUCCGAGCGUUGUCCGGAAUUACUGGGCGUAAAGAGCUUGUAGGUGGUUUGUCGCGUCUGCUGUGAAAAUCCGAGGCUCAACCUCGGACUUGCAGUGGGUACGGGCAGACUAGAGUGUGGUAGGGGAGACUGGAAUUCCUGGUGUAGCGGUGGAAUGCGCAGAUAUCAGGAGGAACACCGAUGGCGAAGGCA